GAUCGGCCCCCGUCGCUACCGUGAUUGAACGCUGACACAGAGUCAACUAGGCUUGUGGGUGCGGUUCUUCGGGCGUAGAACCGAGGACGGUCCGAGCCACGAGGGGGGAGGCUCGGACCGUCCGUC
rnacentral:ncRNA from 1 species